AAAUACUCCAGUGUGGUGAGAUACCCCUUGGAAGCUGUUAGAAUGGAACCUGCCCGUGGAGAAAUCAAGGUGAAACUGUAAGAUAAUAAGGACAGGCAACGAGCUUUAUUGCUGCCCUGGUGUUUCAUCUGCAUGUUGUAGCUUCACCUCUUUCUGCAACAAAAAACAAUGAACUGCAAUCUUAGGGUUCUACAGCUCUUCACAGAGGUGAACAAAGUGCUGCGGUGGUGCAAUUUUGAGCAUCUUAAAUGAAUGUUUCUAUCCUGCAAUGUCAGAAAUAUGCAUGAGGUGUCCUGCACAUAGAGAGGUAGGUUUGUAAUUGCAAAAGCCACUGAGCUACUGGUACUAGAUGCAGCUGGUAGGUGCAAGCUUGACCCUAUUGCUAUCUUUGCUUCCCAUCAUGGCUACCACUAGAACAUGCGUAGUUUCACUUUUAAUGUUAAGAUUG
rnacentral:lncRNA from 1 species